rnacentral:lncRNA from 1 species
UGUUCCCCCACCCCCCCCUUCCCUAAAACACUGGAGAAUUCAGGUCUGGAGCCUGACGGCACUGGAGUAUACAGCAUGUACUGUGCCCCUUGGAAUGCUGGCUGCACUUAAAAGCUUUCUUUAAACAACACAGGAUCCUUUUGCUUUAUCAUGUUACUUGUUUAUUAUCUGCUGCUUCUGUGAGGGAAGAGAAUUGGAAUCUGCCGUGAAAAGGAGAUGCUAAUGGAUCUGGCAAGGUUGAUUGCAAAAUGGAACAAUGGAAAAGGACAAACAUGAAAAGCCCUGGGAGCCAUCCAUGCAGAGGAGGAAUUAUAACUUGCACCUGAUGCUCAUGCUUAAAACAGAAUCCAGGAAAGGACCGGGAAACUUCAGGUCAUGAAAAGAUCCCCACCAUAGUGGCUGUCAUACAUUCUUCAUGGAAGUCCAGUAAAUUUUCCUGAUGCUGCUGUCCUCUUCUUCACACCAAUAGGAAACCCC